GCAUAUCAAUAAGCGGAGGAAAAGAAAAUAACAAUGAUUUCCUUAGUAACGGCGAGUGAACAGGAAAAGCUCAAAGUUAGAACCGGUUUGGCUUAGCUAAUCCGGAAUGUAGACUGUAGAAGUGUUUUCCAGGCAAGCCGGACCCAUAAGUCCUUUGGAACAAGGCAUCAUAGAGGGUGAGAAUCCCGUCUUAGGUCUGAGCAUUUGUCUUUUGCGAUACACUUUCAAAGAGUCAGGUUGUUUGGGAAUGCAGCCUAAAUUGGGUGGUAAAUCUCACCUAAAGCUAAAUAUUGGCGAGAAACCGAUAGCGAACAAGUACCGUGAGGGAAAGAUGAAAAGAACUUUGAAAAGAGAGUUAAACAGUAUGUGAAAUUGUUAAAAGGGAACCGUUUGGAGCCAGACUGGCUUGUCUGCAAUCAAUCUAGGUUUCGACUUGGAUGCACUUGCAGGCGUAGCCUGCCAACGACAAUUUGGCUUGAGGGAAAAAACUAGAGGAAAUGUGGCCCAUCCGUGGGUGUUAUAGUCCUUUAGAAAAUACCUUGAGCUGGAUUGAGGAACGCAGCGAAUGCUAUUUGGCGAGUUGCCUGGGUGGAUUGUCUAAGGUACUCCGGUACUGAGGGUGAUCUGCUUAGGUACACUUCUAUUCGCUUAGGUUGUUGGCUUAAUGACUCUAAAUGACCCGUCUUGAAACACGGACC
rnacentral:rRNA from 1 species